rnacentral:rRNA from 1 species
AAAAUAGAUACCCCGGGUAGUCCACGCCCUAAAACGAUGCGAACUGGAUGUUGGGUACAUUACGGUACUCAGUGUCGAAGCUAACGCGUUAAGUUCGCCGCCUGGGGAGUACGGUCGCAAGACUGAAACUCAAAGGAAUUGACGGGGGCCCGCACAAGCGGUGGAGUAUGUGGUUUAAUUCGAUGCAACGCGAAGAACCUUACCUGGCCUUGACAUCUGUCGAAUCCUGCAGAGAUGCGGGAGUGCCGCAAGGAACGACAAGACAGGUGCUGCAUGGCUGUCGUCAGCUCGUGUCGUGAGAUGUUGGGUUAAGUCCCGCAACGAGCGCAACCCUUGUCCCUAGUUGCCAGCACGUAAUGGUGGGAACUCUAGGGAGACUGCCGGUGACAAGCCGGAGGAAGGUGGGGAUGACGUCAAGUCCUCAUGGCCCUUACGGCCAGGGCUACACACGUAACUACAAGUGGUCGGUACAGAGGGUUGCGAAGCCGCGAGGUGGAGCCAAUCCCAGAAAACCGAUCCCAGUCCGGAAUCGGAGUCUGC